AUUGAACGCUGGCGGCAGGCCUAACACAUGCAAGUCGAACGAGUGGCGGACGGGUGAGUAAUGUCUGGGAAACUGCCUGCUGGAGGGGGCUAACUACUGGAAACGGUAGCUACUCCCGCAUACCAUCAGAUGUGCCCAGAUGGGAUUCGCUAGUUGGUGGGGUAACGGCUCACAAAGGCGACGAUCCCUAGCUGGUCUGAGAGGAUGACCACACACACUGGAACUGAGACACGGUCCAGACUCCUACGGGAGGCAGCAGUGGGGAAUAUUGCACAAUGGUAGCAAGCCUGAUGCAGCCAUGCCGCGUGUAUGAAGAAGGCCUUCGAGUUGUAAAGUACUUUCAGCGGGGAGGCGUUACCCGCAGAAGAAGCACCGGCUAACUCCGUGCCAGAAGCCGCGGUAAUUC
rnacentral:rRNA from 1 species